AGCGAACGCUGGCGACAGGCUUAACACAUGCAAGUCGAGCGGGCGUAGCAAUACGUCAGCGGCAGACGGGUGAGUAACGCGUGGGAACGUACCUUUUGGUUCGGAACAACACAGGGAAACUUGUGCUAAUACCGGAUAAGCCCUUACGGGGAAAGAUUUAUCGCCGAAAGAUCGGCCCGCGUCUGAUUAGCUAGUUGGUGAGGUAACGGCCCACCAAGGCGACGAUCAGUAGCUGGUCUGAGAGGAUGAUCAGCCACAUUGGGACUGAGACACGGCCCAAACUCCUACGGGAGGCAGCAGUGGGGAAUAUUGGACAAUGGGGGCAACCCUGAUCCAGCCAUGCCGCGUGAGUGAUGAAGGCCCUAGGGUUGUAAAGCUCUUUUGUGCGGGAAGAUAAUGACGGUACCGCAAGAAUAAGCCCCGGCUAACUUCGUGCCAGCCGCCGCCGUAA
rnacentral:rRNA from 1 species